rnacentral:tRNA from 1 species
UCCCUGGUGGCUCAGAUGAUAAAGUGCCCACCUGCAAUGCGGGAGACCCAGGUUUGAUCCCUGGGUUGGGAA